rnacentral:rRNA from 1 species
GCCCCGUACACAAAAAUGCACAUAUUGUGAGCUCGAUGAGUAGGGCGGGACACGUGGUAUCCUGUCUGAAUAUGGGGGGACCAUCCUCCAAGGCUAAAUACUCCUGACUGACCGAUAGUGAACCAGUACCGUGAGGGAAAGGCGAAAAGAACCCCGGCGAGGGGAGUGAAAAAGAACCUGAAACCGUGUACGUACAAGCAGUGGGAGCCUCUUAAUGGGGUGACUGCGUACCUUUUGUAUAAUGGGUCAGCGACUUAUAUUCUGUAGCAAGGUUAACCGAAUAGGGGAGCCGAAGGGAAACCGAGUCUUAACUGGGCGUUAAGUUGCAGGGUAUAGACCCGAAACCCGGUGAUCUAGCCAUGGGCAGGUUGAAGGUUGGGUAACACUAACUGGAGGACCGAACCGACUAAUGUUGAAAAAUUAGCGGAUGACUUGUGGCUGGGGGUGAAAGGCCAAUCAAACCGGGAGAUAGCUGGUUCUCCCCGAAAGCUAUUUAGGUAGCGCCUCGUGAAUUCAUCUCCGGGGGUAGAGCACUGUUUCGGCAAGGGGGUCAUCCCGACUUACCAACCCGAUGCAAACUGCGAAUACCGGAGAAUGUUAUCACGGGAGACACACGGCGGGUGCUAACGUCCGUCGUGAAGAGGGAAACAACCCAGACCGCCAGCUAAGGUCCCAAAGUCAUGGUUAAGUGGGAAACGAUGUGGGAAGGCCCAGACAGCCAGGAUGUUGGCUUAGAAGCAGCCAUCAUUUAAAGAAAGCGUAAUAGCUCACUGGUCGAGUCGGCCUGCGCGGAAGAUGUAACGGGGCUAAACCAUGCACCGAAGCUGCGGCAGCGACACUAUGUGUUGUUGGGUAGGGGAGCG